CGACAUGACUAUAGAGUAAAUGUUACACUCGUACCCAUACCGAACACGAAGGUUAAGCUCUACAUCGCCAUGGUAUGGCUUUGUGGAAAUUUUUUUUCUUAUAACAAUACUUGGUUUUAUAGUGA
rnacentral:rRNA from 1 species